UCCCACCGUUUAAAAAUGACAACUUCUCCAGCAGCAGGUAUCCGAGGUAUGGCUUCCUGUGCGAGAGCCCACCGCCUACCGAACGCUUGCAUUUAGCGUGUACAAAAGGCGGUGAUAUCGUCCUAGGGUCUGGAUCGAGUUCAUCUCCUCUGCCAGUUAAAGAAGUGAGACAGGACCAGCACCGCAGAGUUAAAGCCACCAGUCAAGAAAAUUUACGGACUCUGACCCUCACUGGAACACGUAGUCCUCACUGAAUAAGAUGAAUAGCCACCUAUCUUCAACAAAGGCUGUACCCUGGCUUCAAAAAACACAUGAUAUUUGUCUGCAUUUUGAUCCUGGACCAAUUACAAUUGUAAUGUAUAAAAUAAAUUCCCUGCAGGGAAAAACAACCAUAAUAGUACAGUGUUUUACAAAUGUAUUUUUUCCUUUGUGGAGGAGGGCCAUCAGCUUAGAUUUUUCAUAAUCUACCUACAGGUUCUUAAAUACUUCCUAACCUGCCAUUCAAUGGAGGUGAUAGAAAGGAAAGGUUAACAGGACAAAGGGGGAUGUGGGCCUAUUUAGAAAUAGUUCUUUGGGGCAAUUCCAAUCUUUACUGUUGGGAUAUCAGCAGUUCAGUUCACAGGAAUCCACAGCAGUUGCUAGAUCCAAGCAGAAGGCAAGGCUCUGGCAACUGGCCAGCAUCCAGGGAAGCAGGAAGGAGCCACUGGAUUAUCACGAGAAUUUCUUUGAUGCAUUUUUUUCUCCAUGAAAUCGAGACAAGCAAUGACCAGCGAAGAAGGCAAGAUGAACCAAUGUCACAGCAUCUUCAGCAAAAACCAGCGUCAGCAAAGACCAACCAAGAACAGCAAAGAAUGGCAAGGCGAACCAAUGCCACGGUGUGGUCCACUGGCUGGUGGGUUAUACCUAUACGCUUUCUAACAUCACGUGUCCUCUCAAGCGCCCACUCCAGUAAAACACCACAUGCCUCUUUCCCAGGAAACUUCCAGAAAAAAAAAAUGCCACACGUCUGGUCUCAGCAAAACAUCCUCUCCUGUGAAUGGUUCAGCAAAGCAGCCUAUCAUAAGACAGUUUCCAGAACAGCAUCUCAUGACCCAACUGGGUCUCCAAAGAAACCAUGAGUUCCCCCUUCCUAGGGCACUUGCCAAUUAAUUUCCUUAGGAUGGCUUUCAACCAGCCAGACAUCCUCAAGUUUAGCCAGGAAGAUCUCAAGUCAGACCCAGGAAAUGGCAUGGUGCUCCUAACUGUUGCUUCGUUUUCCUUGACCAUCAAUGCCCUCUGCUACAUUUGUGUAAUUUUUAUCAACCUAAAGGAAGCAAAGGAUGACCUUUCAAAAAAAUAAUCAAGUGUUCUUACUCUGAGGUCCUUUUCUUGUGUCUGGA